rnacentral:rRNA from 1 species
CCUACGGGGGGCAGCAGUGGGGAAUAUUGGACAAUGGGGGCACCCCUGAUCCAGCCAUGCCGCGUGUGUGAAGAAGGCCCUCGGGUUGUAAAGCACUUUCAGUGAGGAAGAACGCCUGGUGGUUAAUACCCAUCAGGAAAGACAUCACUCACAGAAGAAGCACCGGCUAACUCCGUGCCAGCAGCCGCGGUAAUACGGAGGGUGCGAGCGUUAAUCGGAAUUACUGGGCGUAAAGCGCGCGUAGGUGGCUUGAUAAGCCGGUUGUGAAAGCCCCGGGCUCAACCUGGGAACGGCAUCCGGAACUGUCAAGCUAGAGUGCAGGAGAGGAAGGUAGAAUUCCCGGUGUAGCGGUGAAAUGCGUAGAGAUCGGGAGGAAUACCAGUGGCGAAGGCGGCCUUCUGGACUGACACUGACACUGAGGUGCGAAAGCGUGGGUAGCAAACAGGAUUAGAUACCCUAGUAGUC